GGGGGCGGGUCGGAGUCUGGGGGAGGAUCCGGUGUGGCGGACGCGUGGCAAGGACGAUUGGGGGAUGGACGGUGGAGAUGAAGCGAAGAGGAGAAGAGGUGAUUGGUGGAGUGAGAACGGGUGCAGGGGAGGAGGAAGAGAGGGAAGGCCUGGUUUGUGGUUG